rnacentral:misc_RNA from 1 species
CCGAGUGAGGGCUUCGGUCCGACCUCCAACCCUUUGUGAACCAAACUUGUUGCUUCGGGGGCGACCCUGCCGCCUCGGGCGGCGCGGCGCCCCCGAAGGCCAUCAAACACUGCAUCAUUGCGUCGGAGUCGAAGUAAAUCAAAUA